UUGUACGCGUAACUACGUGAGCGAGUGAGCGCUCUUACCAUUGAACAAUCUUUGAAACAGUUUUUUCUCCGGUAAUGUUGGGAAGUGCUUUGGCAUUAACAAGUGAGGGAACGGCUCAUAAAUACGCUAAAUGUACGCUUACACGCUCGUGCCUUGGGAAACCUUCGUCUUUGGGCCAGUGUGAUCUGUACAAAGAUGGGGACUCCAGUCUGGGACUGAAAAAAAGAAAAGAACUUCCAAACCCAGCUGACAGCACCACAGAAUUCCCAGCAGCCCUUAAAGACUUUUGUCAUGAAUUCAGAGCAACCAGGCCUGAAAUCCG